rnacentral:rRNA from 1 species
GUCCUAGCCGUAAACGAUGGACACUGAGUGAAGGGGGGCUUGCCCCUCUUUGCUGCAGCUAACGCGUUAAGUGUCCCGCCUGGGGAGUACGGCCGCAAGGUUAAAACUCAAAGGAAUUGACGGGGGCUCGCACAAGCGGUGGAGCAUGUGGUUCAAUUCGAUGCAACGCGAAGAACCUUACCCGGGCUUGAAGUGGAGGUGGUAGGAACCGGAAACGGUAACGACCCCGCAAGGGGAGCCUUCAUCAGGUGUUGCAUGGCUGUCGU